AAGUUGUAACAAGGUUUCCGUAGGUGAACCUGCGGAAGGAUCAUUAUUGAGAUAGUCGGAAGCCUAUUAGGUCACCCAAACGCUUGAAAUAUUAGCGGAAUGGGCAGUAAUACAAUCGGCAUGACCGUUUGAAUCCAAGGGCAGCUAUCCACCCGUGUAUAUAUACUCUGUUCGUUCCUGGCCGGUCAUACCCGGCCAGAGAACCAACCAUCUUGAAUUUUAUGGAACGUCUGAGUACUAUAUAAUAGUUAAAA
rnacentral:misc_RNA from 1 species